rnacentral:piRNA from 1 species
UAAGACCAAGUCUAUAACCAAACUGAUCUU